GGAAGAGUGGGCGGAGCAUAAACAUACCUGAGCUGAAACUUCCUUGAUUUGGGCAGGUACAGACAGGCGAGUCUAUAUCAACUUUAAAGACACCGGACUGAAGGGUGUUGCUGAUGUAGUUUAGGGAUUAUGAGCCAGUCACAGCAAGCAUCGUCCUGGUCUGUGGAAGAGGUGUUGGAAUGGAUUCAGGAAAAGCACCCGGGACACAUUAAGACACUCUGCAAAAGCAUCAUCAAACAUGAUAUAUCAGGCCGAGCUUUACUGAGACUAAAGGAGCAUCACCUGGAGCUUCUCGGGGUGGAGGAUGAAGAGCAGCAGCAUGAAAUAUUGCAGAACCUUCUGCUUCUCAAACUUCAGGAAGAAAUCAAUCAACUCAAUGACAUCUGCUCUGAAAAACCAGACUGUUUUUCUUCAUAAAGUACGGCUAAACGACAGAAAAAUACCCAGCUGGUCUUUUUAUUUCCUGUCUAUCCAUUCAUCUGUGCCAAGGAGAUUGAAAGGUGGGAGUGAUGGAAAUAACAAAAGAAGGUGAACAGAAAGAGGGAUCGAUGGGGAAGAGAAGAGAGAAAGAAACCCAUUUCCUGUGUGAAAUUUGACCCGUGCAGAUGGAUAAGAUUAGUUUUUGUCUGGUUGCCUUUUUUUGAUUCCUAUUGUCCAUUUGUCUCUGUCUUUUUCCUCUGUCUGUAUUCUGUUUAACCAUACCAAUAUCAAAUAUCCUGCAAAAAAAUCUAUUAAAUAUGGGAUACAGUCCCAGAAUGUCCUUGUGGUUGGUACUGAGAGCUGCAAACAACAAGAAUUCCUGGAAAAGUUUGGAAUUUGAUGCAAGUAUUAUUGGUUUUGUUCUUGGAGUUUUUGUUCAUGUCUUUUGUCUAAAUUUUGUAUCUAUUCACUCAUUUACAUUGCCUUUGUAAUGUAUUAAUACCUCUGGAAUCUUUGUAUAUUUUGUCAUGUUGCAACCAAAAACUUUAAUCUAUUUUACAUUCUAUGCCAUAGACCAACACAUUUAUUUAAAUCGACUCCAUCCAUCCAUCCAUCCAUCCAUCCAUCCAUCCAUCCAUCCAUUUUUAUUGUUGAAAAAACACUUAUUUGGGACUAAAAGUUUACUGAAAAAACAGCUACCAUCAUUCCUGCUACAGUUUGGAGUUCUUCAUCAUAUUUGGAGGCUGACCUCUUAAUAAAUGUUUACUUAUAGAGGUGCUGAUGUUAGGUUUGACCAAAAAAUAGUCCAUCUAAUCUAAGAAUCUAAACAUUUCAAUCUACUAUUGUAGCAUCUGCUGUUCUUCCUAUAAACAAAUCUUUAAAGACCAUGUGCAUAACUCAAGAAAGCUAAACUUGAACAUGCUUAUAUAGCUCCACUUCUGUGAACUGUUUUAAUUCAGAAGAUUUUCCUUUAAAAUAGACUUUGAUACUCAUCAUUAAAUCUGCAGUACUGAUGAGAAACGUGGAUAUAUUUUUAUUCCUCGAUAAAGCCUGAGAUGAGGAGCUUAUCCUCUUUCUGUCAGAGAUGUUGUUGGUUUAAGAUAAUGUGUUUAAUAAAAGCAAAGCAAGGCCUGGAAAUAUUCAUGAGAUGUGGACAGUUUGAUAUCUGAGCACGUAUGAUAUUUGUCUUUUAAACUCACAGCUUAAUAAAGAAGUUAAUGUUGCUGCAGCUAGAGAAAAAGUGCAAAGAUGUUAAAGUUGAAAUAUCUGAGUUUCAUUUCAAUGCUGUUUGAGCAAUUGAGAUUUUUGCCUUAGCAAAAAGCUUUUAGAAUUGCUCUAAAAAAUCUCAAACAAUUCUGUAUCCAUUUACAUCUGUGUGGUUUCCUCUAGAAAUAUAGUGUGAGGUUGGAUUCAAACAUCAAACACUGAUAUAAACCUCCAGAAUAAAAAAGGGUUUAACUGUUCUUAUAUUAAAUUACAAAACUUGAACUGAAGCACUAAAAUGGUUUUGAUGUCCGCUUUUGUCUCUUAUUAAGAGUUGAAAUGCUGGAUCCAUGAUAUUUUGUUUUUGACUGAUCUAAAGCAAAAUAUUUUUAUCUGAAGCUAAUAUAGGAGGAGGAACAAAAAACAUGUUUUUUCAUCUUUUAUUUCAAGUGGUUAUGUAAAGAUGACAGUCUUUAUUUGUAUAUUACAGACAUCAAUAUUUUUUGUGCUGCACGUAAAGAUUUCUGAACAUUUCUUUUGCAGCAGCCAGUUAAAUAAAAAGUGCUGCUUUUGCAACAUAA